CCGUGCGAUAGGUAAAUCCGUCGUACAUGUGGCUGAGACCUGAUGCCGAGCCGAUUGUGGUGAAGUGGAUGAUCCUAUGCUGUCGAGAAAAGCCUCUAGCGAGUUUCAUGGCGGCCCGUACCCUAAACCGACUCAGGUGGUCAGGUAGAGAAUACCGAGGCGUUCGGGUGAACUAUGGUUAAGGAACUCGGCAAAAUGCCCCCGUAACUUCGGGAGAAGGGGGGCCAUGUCUGGUGAUGAGUCUUGCACUCUGAGCUGGGUGUGGCCGCAGAGACCAGCGAGAAGCGACUGUUUACUAAAAACACAGGUCCGUGCGAAGCCGUAAGGCGAUGUAUACGGACUGACGCCUGCCCGGUGCUGGAACGUUAAGGGGACCGGUUAGUCACAUUUCGGUGUGGCGAAGCUGAGAACUUAAGCGCCAGUAAACGGCGGUGGUAACUAUAACCAUCCUAAGGUAGCGAAAUUCCUUGUCGGGUAAGUUCCGACCUGCACGAAUGGCGUAACGACUUCUCGACUGUCUCAACCAUAGGCCCGGUGAAAUUGCAUUACGAGUAAAGAUGCUCGUUUCGCGCAGCAGGACGGAAAGACCCCGGGACCUUUACUACAGUUUGAUAUUGGUGUUCGGUUCGGCUUGUGUAGGAUAGGUGGGAGACUGUGAAGCAUGCACGCCAGUGUGUGUGGAGUCGUCGUUGAAAUACCACUCUGGUCGUGCUGGAUGUCUAACCUGGGUCCGUGAUCCGGAUCAGGGACAGUGUCUGAUGGGUAGUUUAACUGGGGCGGUUGCCUCCUAAAGAGUAACGGAGGCGCCCAAAGGUUCCCUCAGCCUGGUUGGUAAUCAGGUGUUGAGUGUAAGUGCACAAGGGAGCUUGACUGUGAGACCGACGGGUCGAGCAGGGACGAAAGUCGGGACUAGUGAUCCGGCGGUGGCUUGUGGAAGCGCCGUCGCUCAACGGAUAAAAGGUACCCCGGGGAUAACAGGCUGAUCUUCCCCAAGAGUCCAUAUCGACGGGAUGGUUUGGCACCUCGAUGUCGGCUCGUCGCAUCCUGGGGCUGGAGUCGGUCCCAAGGGUUGGGCUGUUCGCCCAUUAAAGCGGUACGCGAGCUGGGUUUAGAACGUCGUGAGACAGUUCGGUCCCUAUCCGCUGUGCGCGUAGGAAUAUUGAGAAGGGCUGUCCCUAGUACGAGAGGACCGGGACGGACGAACCUCUGGUGUGCCAGUUGUUCUGCCAAGGGCAUGGCUGGUUGGCUACGUUCGGGAGGGAUAACCGCUGAAAGCAUCUAAGCGGGAAGCCUGCUUCGAGAUGAGUAUUCCCACCUCCUUGAGAGGGUAAGGCUCCCAGUAGACGACUGGGUUGAUAGGCCGGAUAUGGAAGCCCUGUAAGGGGUGGAGUUGACCGGUACUAAUAGGCCGAGGGCUUGUCCUCAGUUG
rnacentral:rRNA from 1 species